GACCCGCCCCUUUUUAUUUUUUCAGCUUUUUCCUUUUAUUUCUUAUUUUUCUUUUGUUUUAAGUGAAUGGAGAGUGAGUGGUGGGUGUGUGUGUGGACAGAGAGAGAGGGACGUGUUAUCUCUUUUUAUUUUACUUUUUUUGGUUUUUUCCUGCACUGCCACAUGUCGUUCCAUGAGAGAGCCAUUAGAGAGAGACGUUGGAGAUACUUCCCCUCCCCACUACAUACGUUGUCGGCCUGUGUAUGGAAGAAGAGAUAUUUUAAUUAUUCUGAUUUCUCUAUCUAAUUAAUUUAAUUAACGUUUAUUUUUUUUAUUGGAUAAUGGAAUGUACAUGGAUCACUAAUAUGGGCCUUUG
rnacentral:lncRNA from 1 species